rnacentral:rRNA from 1 species
CCCGGCGACCGGCGCACGGGUGAGUAACGCGUGUGCAACCUGCCCGGCACAGUGGGAUAAUCCGGAGAAAUCCGGUCUAAUACCGCAUGACGCGGGAAAGGCGCAUGCCUUUUCCGCCAAAGGAGGCGACUCCGGUGCCGGCUGGGCACGCGUGACAUUAGCUAGUUGGUGGGGCAACGGCCCACCAAGCCGACGAUGCGUAGGGGUUCUGAGAGGAAGGUCCCCCACAUUGGAACUGAGACACGGUCCAAACUCCUACGGGAGGCAGCAG